GGGCGUGUAACUCAGUGGUAGAGUGCUCGCUUUGCAUCUUCUGGUGUGAAACUGCGAGAAGCCCAGGGUUCGACUCCCUGCUCGUCCA
rnacentral:tRNA from 1 species